rfam:Trichobilharzia regenti genome assembly, scaffold: TRE_scaffold0000388
AUCCAGAUGAUGGGUCCACAAUAGGACGAAAUGCGAGUCCUGGCUGGAU